rnacentral:lncRNA from 1 species
GUCCCGGGGGUCACCGGGGGUUACCGGGGGGGGUCACCGGGGGGUCCCGGGGGUCACGGUCCGCCGUGUCCCCCCCAGGACGGGCAGUCGGUGUCGCCCCCCGCCUACUGGGGGGACACGGUCACCGGACCCUUCCUCAUCUUCGGCCUGGACCCCGGCGGGCACCGGAGCCCCCCGAAGACGGCCACCGAGGUGUCGCUGGCCGCUGUCACGGCGCUGCUGCACGAGCUGCUCACCGGGGACCCCCCCCCCGGGGACCCCCCAACCGGGGACCCCCCCACCGGGGACCCCCCAACCGGGCACCGGGACCCCCG